AAGAGACAGCAGUAGCCGCGGUAAUACGGAGGGGGCUAGCGUUGUUCGGAAUUACUGGGCGUAAAGCGCACGUAGGCGGCUUUGUAAGUUAGAGGUGAAAGCCCGGAGCUCAACUCCGGAAUUGCCUUUAAGACUGCAGAGCUAGCAGGUGAGAGAGGUAAGUGGAAUUCCGAGUGUAGAGGUGAAAUUCGUAGAUAUUCGGAAGAACACCAGUGGCGAAGGCGACUGACUGGACAAGUAUUGACGCUGAGGUGCGAAAGCGUGGGGAGCAAACAGGAUUAGAUACCCCUGUAGUCCCUGUCUCUUAUAC
rnacentral:rRNA from 1 species